rnacentral:rRNA from 1 species
UAGUAACGGCGAGUGAAGCGGGAAGAGCUCAAAUUUGAAAUCUGGUGGCCUCAGGUCAUCCGAGUUGUAAUCUAUAGAAGUGUUUUCCGUGCUGGCUCAUGUACAAGUCCCUUGGAACAGGGCGUCAUAGAGGGUGAGAAUCCCGUCCUUGACAUGAACUACCAGUGCUCUGUGAUACAUUUUCAACGAGUCGAGUUGUUUGGGAAUGCAGCUCAAAAUGGGUGGUAAAUUCCAUCUAAAGCUAAAUAUUGGCGAGAGACCGAUAGCGAACAAGUACCGUGAGGGAAAGAUGAAAAGCACUUUGGAAAGAGAGUUAAACAGUAUGUGAAAUUGUUGAAAGGGAAACGAUUGAAGUCAGUCGUGCUCUUUGGAUUCAGCCGGUUCUGCCGGUGUACUUCCUUUGAGUGGGGUCAACAUCAGUUUUGAUCGCUGGAUAAAGGCUGGAGGAACGUAGUACCCUCGGGUAAACUUAUAGCCUCCUGUCACAUACAGUGGUUGGGACUGAGGAACGCAGCACGCCUUUAUGGCCGGGAUUCGUCCACGUACGUGCUUAGGAUGUUGACAUAAUGGCUUUAAACGACCCGUC